rnacentral:rRNA from 1 species
UACGAAGGGGGCUAGCGUUGUUCGGAUUUACUGGGCGUAAAGCGCACGUAGGCGGUUCGAUCAGUCAGGGGUGAAAUCCCAGAGCUCAACUCUGGAACUGCCUUUGAUACUGCCGAUCUGGAGUAUGGAAGAGGUGAGUGGAAUUCCGAGUGUAGAGGUGAAAUUCGUAGAUAUUCGCAAGAACACCAGUGGCGAAGGCGGCUCACUGGCCCGAUACUGACGCUGAGGCACGAAAGCGUGGGGAGCAAACAGG